UACGGGGGGGGCGAAGCGUUGUUCGGAAUUACUGGGGCGUAAAGGCUCGUAGGUUGCCAACUAAGUCAGACGUGAAAUCCCUCGGCUUAACCGGGGAACUGCGUCUGAUACUGGAUGGCUUGAGUUCGGGAGAGGGAUGCGGAAUUCCAGGUGUAGCGGUGAAAUGCGUAGAUAUCUGGAGGAACACCGGUGGCGAAGGCGGCAUCCUGGACCGGCAUUGACGCUGAGGCGCGAAAGCUGAGGGGAGCAAACGGGG
rnacentral:rRNA from 1 species